AGUGCUGGUCGCGCUCUGGCUGGGCACGAACGUAGAGGUCAGGCUAGGGCUGACGAUGCUGGCUAAGCGGGGGCGCACGUCUGGGAAGUCGUCGUCGUAGUCACCGAUGUCCGUGACCUUCCAGAGGUAAUCCACCCGCCUUGGCCUCCCAAAGUGCUGGGAUUACAGGUGUGAGCCACCAUGCCCAGCCAGAAACUGCCACUUUUAAACCAUCAGAUCUCAUUGAGAACUCCCUCACUAUCACGAGAACCGCAUGAGGGAAACCACCCCCAUGAUCUGAUCACCUCCCACCAGGUCCUGCCCUCAACAUGUGGGGAUUACAAUUCAAGAUGAGAUUUGGGUCAGGAAACAGAGCCAAACCAUAUCAAGAGCCUCUGGUAACCACUGUUCUACUCAAUACUUCUAUGAGGUGAACUUCUUUGGAUUCCACAUAUGAUCAAGAUCAUGAGUGGCGCCUGGAACGCCAGCAAGAGAGAACCGUUCACUCCCCUGGACAGGGGGCUGAAGCCGUGGAGCCAAGUGGACUAGCUCAGCGGAUCCCACCCCCACAGAGCCCAGCAAGCUAAGAUCCACUGGCUUGAAAUUCUUGCUGCCAGCACAACAGUCUGAAGUCAACCUGGGAUGCUGGAGCUUGGUGAGGGGAGGAGCGUCCACCAUUACUGAGGCUUGAGUAGGCGGUUUUCCCCUCACAGUGUAAACAAAGCCACCAGGAAAUUUGGACUGGGUGGAGCCCACCGCAGCUCAGCAAAGCCGCUGUAGCCAGGCUGCCUCUCUAGAUUCCUCUUCUCUGGGCAGGGCAUCUCUGAAAAAAAGGCAGCAGCCCCAGUCAGGUACUUAUAGAUAAAACCCCCACCUCCCUGGGACAGAGCACCUUGGGUAAGGGGCAGCUGUGGGCACAGCUUUAGCAGACUUCAACGUCCCUGCCUGACGGCUCCGAAGAGAGCAGCUGAUCUCCCAGCACAGUGUUCAAGCUCUGCUAAGGGUCAGACUGCCUCCUCAAGUGGUUCCCUGACCCCUGUGUCUCCUGACUGGUAGACACCUCCCAGCAGGGGCUGACAGACACCUCAUACAGGAGAGCUCUGGCUGGCAUCUGGCGGGUGCCCCUCUGGGACGAAGCUUCCAGAGGAAGGAACAGUCAGCAAUCUUUGCUGUUCUGCAGCCUCCGCUGAUGAUAUCCAGGGAAACAGGGUCUGGAGUGGAUCUCCAGCAAACUCCAGCAGACCUGCAGCAGAGGGGCCUGACUGUUAUAAGGAAAACUAACAAACAGAAAGGAAUAGCAUCAACAUCAACAAAAAGGAUGUCCACUCAGGGACCUCAUCCAAAUGUCACCAACAUCAAAGACCAAAGGUAGAUAAAUCCAUGAAGAUGGGGAGAAACCAGUGCAAAAAGGCUGAAAAUUCCAAAACCCAGAACGCCUCUUCUCCUCCAAAGGAUCACAACUCCUUGCCAGCAUGG
rnacentral:lncRNA from 1 species